rnacentral:rRNA from 1 species
GGCUUAACACAUGCAAGUCGAGGGGCAUCAGGAAGAAAGCUUGCUUUCUUUGCUGGCGACCGGCGCACGGGUGAGUAACACGUAUCCAACCUGCCCUUUACUCGGGGAUAGCCUUUCGAAAGAAAGAUUAAUACCCGAUAGCAUAAUGAUUCCGCAUGGUUUCAUUAUUAAAGGAUUCCGGUAAAGGAUGGGGAUGCGUUCCAUUAGGUUGUUGGUGAGGUAACGGCCCACCAAGCCUUCGAUGGAUAGGGGUUCUGAGAGGAAGGUCCCCCACAUUGGAACUGAGACACGGUCCAAACUCCUACGGGAGGCAGCAGUGAGGAAUAUUGGUCAAUGGGCGCUAGCCUGAACCAGCCAAGUAGCGUGAAGGAUGAAGGCUCUAUGGGUCGUAAACUUCUUUUAUAUAAGAAUAAAGUGCAGUAUGUAUACUGUUUUGUAUGUAUUAUAUGAAUAAGGAUCGGCUAACUCCGUGCCAGCAGCCGCGGUAAUACGGAGGAUCCGAGCGUUAUCCGGAUUUAUUGGGUUUAAAGGGAGCGUAGGUGGACUGGUAAGUCAGUUGUGAAAGUUUGCGGCUCAACCGUAAAAUUGCAGUUGAUACUGUCAGUCUUGAGUACAGUAGAGGUGGGCGGAAUUCGUGGUGUAGCGGUGAAAUGCUUAGAUAUCACGAAGAACUCCGAUUGCGAAGGCAGCUCACUGGACUGCAACUGACACUGAUGCUCGAAAGUGUGGGUAUCAAACAGGAUUAGAUACCCUGGUAGUCCACACAGUAAACGAUGAAUACUCGCUGUUUGCGAUAUACAGUAAGCGGCCAAGCGAAAGCAUUAAGUAUUCCACCUGGGGAGUACGCCGGCAACGGUGAAACUCAAAGGAAUUGACGGGGGCCCGCACAAGCGGAGGAACAUGUGGUUUAAUUCGAUGAUACGCGAGGAACCUUACCCGGGCUUAAAUUGCAGUGGAAUGAUGUGGAAACAUGUCAGUGAGCAAUCACCGCUGUGAAGGUGCUGCAUGGUUGUCGUCAGCUCGUGCCGUGAGGUGUCGGCUUAAGUGCCAUAACGAGCGCAACCCCUAUCUUUAGUUACUAACAGGUUAUGCUGAGGACUCUAGAGAGACUGCCGUCGUAAGAUGUGAGGAAGGUGGGGAUGACGUCAAAUCAGCACGGCCCUUACGUCCGGGGCUACACACGUGUUACAAUGGGGGGUACAGAAGGCAGCUAGCGGGUGACCGUAUGCUAAUCCCAAAAUCCUCUCUCAGUUCGGAUCGAAGUCUGCAACCCGACUUCGUGAAGCUGGAUUCGCUAGUAAUCGCGCAUCAGCCACGGCGCGGUGAAUACGUUCCCGGGCCUUGUACACACCGCCCGUCAAGCCAUGGGAGCCGGGGGUACCUGAAGUACGUAACCGCAAGGAUCGUCCUAGGGUAAAACUGGUGACUGGGGCUAAGUCAUAACA